GACGAGUUUGAUCAUGGCUCAGGACGAACGCUGGCGGCGUGCCUAACACAUGCAAGUCGAGCGGAGUUGACAAGAGGAAGUUUUCGGAUGGAAUCUUGUCAAUUUAGCGGCGGACGGGUGAGUAACGCGUGAGCGACCAACUUUGCACAGGGGGAUACCGGACCGAAAGGUUCACUAAUACCGCAUGAGACCACGGUGUUGCAUGACACAGGGGUCAAAGGAGGAAUCCGGUGCAAGACGGGCUCGCGUCCGAUUAGGUAGUCGGAGGGGUAACGGCCCACCAAGCCUAUGAUCGGUAGCCGACCUGAGAGGGUGAUCGGCCACAUUGGAACUGAGAUACGGUCCAAACUCCUACGGGAGGCAGCAGUGGGGAAUAUUGGGCAAUGGGGGAAACCCUGACCCAGCAACGCCGCGUGAAGGAAGAAGGUUUUCGGAUUGUAAACUUCUGUCCUUGGUGAAGAGAAGAAGACGGUAGCCAAGGAGGAAGCCCCGGCUAACUACGUG
rnacentral:rRNA from 1 species